UCAUAAUUACAAUUAUAAGCCUCAUUUUUUUUUUCUGCCUCAAAAAAAAUAAAUGAGGCUUAUAAUUGUAAUUAUGAUC